rnacentral:rRNA from 1 species
ACGGGAGGCAGCAGUGGGGAAUCUUGGGCAAUGGGGGCAACCCUGACCCAGCAACGCCGCGUGAAGGAAGAAGACUUUCGGGUUGUAAACUUCUUUUACCAGGGACGAAGAAAGUGACGGUACCUGGAGAAAAAGCCACGGCUAACUACGUGCCAGCAGCCGCGGUAAUACGUAGGUGGCAAGCGUUGUACGGAUUUACUGGGUGUAAAGGGCGUGUAGGCGGAGCAGCAAGUCAGAAGUGAAAUUUAGGGGCUCAACCCCUAAACUGUUUUUGAAACUGUUGCCCUUGAGUAUCGGAGAGGCAGGCGGAAUGCCUAGUGUAGCGGUGAAAUGCGUAGAUAUUAGGAGGAACACCAGUGGCGAAGGCGGCCUGCUGGACGACAACUGACGCUGAGGCGUGAAAGCGUGGGGAGCAAACAGGAUUAGAUAACAUGGUA